UGGGGAAUAUUGGACAAUGGGCGCAAGCCUGAUCCAGCCAUGCCGCGUGAGUGAAGAAGGUCUUCGGAUUGUAAAGCUCUUUUGGUGGGGAAGAUGAUGACUGUACCCACAGAAUAAGCUCCGGCUAACUUCGUGCCAGCAGCCGCGGUAAUACGAAGGGAGCUAGCGUUGUUCGGAAUCACUGGGCGUAAAGCGCGCGCAGGCGGCUUUUUAAGUUAGGAGUGAAAGCCUUGGGCUUAACCCAAGAAAUGCUCUUAAGACUGGAAAGCUAGAGUGUGGGAGAGGAUAGUGGAAUUCCGUGUGUAGAGGUGAAAUUCGUAGAUAUACGGAGGAACACCGAUGGCGAAGGCACCUAUCUGGAACACAACUGACGCUGAGGCGCGAAAGUGUGGGGAUCAAA
rnacentral:rRNA from 1 species